rnacentral:lncRNA from 1 species
CUUCACUUUUUGGAAAUGGGGACAGCUGUUGUGUCUUUGUGGGAUGAUCUUUACACCAAAAGCAUUGUCCAGGGAAGGAUCCACGGUUGUGCCAACAGGGAAUUUCUGCUCCAGGAGAGGCAACAGUCUCAUAAACUCACUCUGCUGUGAUGGUGGAGAUUCAGGGCAUGAACCAGCACAACCCUCUGGAAUGCAGCAGCCCUGGUGAUGCCGUGGCCAUGUCACAGGAGGCACCAGCUUUCUAUAAGGACACUGAUCUAAGGAUAAGGAAACAGCUCCAUCCAGAUCCCUCCAUGGUCCUACAGGCAGCUGGAAGCUCCCCACAGCCACCACUGGAGAUCCUCCUCACCCCCCUUAACUGGGUGUGAAACUUAUGACAGAAUAAGAAAGUCAUAAAAAUAAUAAUGAAAAA